rnacentral:rRNA from 1 species
UAGGGAAUCUUCCGCAAUGGACGAAAGUCUGACGGAGCAACGCCGCGUGAGUGAUGAAGGUUUUCGGAUCGUAAAGCUCUGUUGUUAGGGAAGAACAAGUGCCGUUCAAAUAGGGCGGCACCUUGACGGUACCUAACCAGAAAGCCACGGCUAACUACGUGCCAGCAGCCGCGGUAAUACGUAGGUGGCAAGCGUUGUACGGAAUUAUUGGGCGUAAAGGGCUCGCAGGCGGUUUCUUAAGUCUGAUGUGAAAGCCCCCGGCUCAACCGGGGAGGGUCAUUGGAAACUGGGGAACUUGAGUGCAGAAGAGGAGAGUGGAAUUCCACGUGUAGCGGUGAAAUGCGUAGAGAUGUGGAGGAACACCAGUGGCGAAGGCGACUCUCUGGUCUGUAACUGACGCUGAGGAGCGAAAGCGUGGGGAGCGAACA